AUUGAACGCUGGCGGCAGGCUUAACACAUGCAAGUCGAGCGGAGCCUUCGGGCUUAGCGGCGAACGGGUGAGGAAUGCCUGGGAAUCUGCCUGUUAGUGGGGGAUAACGUUCCGAAAGGAACGCUAAUACCGCAUACGUCCUACGGGAGAAAGCAGGGGACCUUCGGGCCUUGCGCUAACAGAUGAGCCCAGGUCGGAUUAGCUAGUUGGUGGGGUAAAGGCUCACCAAGGCGACGAUCCGUAGCUGGUCUGAGAGGAUGAUCAGCCACACUGGAACUGAGACACGGUCCAGACUCCUACGGGAGGCAGCAGUGGGAAUAUUGGACAAUGGGGGAAACCCUGAUCCAGCCAUGCCGCGUGUGUG
rnacentral:rRNA from 1 species